CCAGACUCCUACGGGAGGCAGCAGUGGGGAAUAUUGCACAAUGGGGGAAACCCUGAUGCAGCGACGCCGCGUGAAGGACGAAGUAUUUCGGUAUGUAAACUUCUAUCAGCAGGGAAGAAAAUGACGGUACCUGACUAAGAAGCCCCGGCUAACUACGUGCCAGCAGCCGCGGUAAUACGUAGGGGGCAAGCGUUAUCCGGAUUUACUGGGUGUAAAGGGAGCGUAGACGGCAUGGCAAGUCUGAUGUGAAAACCCGGGGCUCAACCCCGGGACUGCAUUGGAAACUGUCAGGCUGGAGUGUCGGAGAGGCAAGUGGAAUUCCUAGUGUAGCGGUGAAAUGCGUAGAUAUUAGGAGGAACACCAGUGGCGAAGGCGGCUUGCUGGACGAUGACUGACGUUGAGGCUCGAAAGCGUGGGGAGCAAACAGGAUUAGAUACCCCCGUA
rnacentral:rRNA from 1 species